rnacentral:rRNA from 1 species
AUACGUAGGUGGCAAGCGUUGUCCGGAAUUAUUGGGCGUAAAGCGCGCGCAGGUGGUUCCUUAAGUCUGAUGUGAAAGCCCCCGGCUCGACCGGGGAGGGUCAUUGGAAACUGGGGACCUUGAGUGCAGAAGAGGAUAGUGGAAUUCCAAGUGUAGCGGUGAAAUGCGUAGAGAUUUGGAGGAACACCAGUGGCGAAGGCGACUGUCUGGUCUGUAACUGACACUGAGGCGCGAAAGCGUGGGGAGCAAACAGGAUUAGAUACCCUGGUAGUCCACGCCGUAAACGAUGAGUGCUAAGUGUUGGGGGGUUUCCGCCCCUCAGUGCUGCAGCUAACGCAUUAAGCACUCCGCCUGGGGAGUACGGUCGCAAGACUGAAACUCAAAUGAAUUGACGGGG